rnacentral:misc_RNA from 1 species
CGGAAGGGAGAUAACUCCAAACGCAUAAAAGCGAAAACACGUGAAACUCGAACUAACUAACUGUAAAUUUGUUUUAAUACCCUAAUAACUUGGCGUCAGAGUAUCCAGCAGUUGUGCGAGUCAGGAUCGAAACAUGCCAGUAACGACAGGAGACUCACAGGCCACAGUGAUGUCGUUUUCUGAUUUUGUGGAGCUACACAAACCACAACUGUUGGCAUCAGCAGUUCCUGAGAGGUUCUGGAACACUUUGUUUGAAAAGCUCAAAGAUGAGGUGUAUGAUGCAGGGGACAACUUCCAGAUCAUAUGUGAGCAGUAUGUCAGUGAGGACAACGAUGAAGACGAUGGUGCUGACGACCAUGGAUGGAAGGUUAUCGUGUACACAGACGAUGGUAUCUCGCACACAGAUGAAAAAAACAUCUUCCUGAUUGACCAUGCCUGGACGUUCCGUGUGCGUGAUGCCCGCCAGUACCUGGAGGAGGUACCAGGGUUGUUGGAACGGAUGACGGCGCUGAUUGAGGUCUCCACAGCAGGGAAGUCAAGCGACGAGCAGAAUGAGGCUGUUCUCCGUAAAAUGUGGAAGUACACACAGACAUACAGCUUUGGGCAUUUAUCAGAGGGCUCGGAGGACUCCAUGCCCAUCUGGUAUGUGAUGGAUGAGUUCGGUUCCCGCAUCCAGCACUCAAACGAACCGUCAUUCAGAACAGUACCCUUCUACUUCCUGCCCCGACAGAUGGCGUUCAACAUCAUGUGGCCACUGAGGGACCUAGAUCAUGGAGAGGAGGUGACCAGAGACUAUCUCCCGAACGUCAGAGACGCACUGGUGCGACGAGCCCGACUCACUCCAUGGAUAGAUGAUGAUCUGACCGACGUGAGCUGCGAGCAGACAGAGCCAGACAUGUCCUACUUCCAGGCUUACAGGGAGAAUGAGAGUUUGCCGAACCUGGACGUGGAGUUCCCACCAGUGCCGACUGACCGGAGCCUCAAGGUGUACAUGGACUACGGCAAGAUGUUGAAGGACCAUCUCACUGACCCUCGCUUCCAGCUAGUGGAGGACAUCACACAAGCAGACGUCAUCUGGACACACAGACAUUACAAGGACUUCAAGGAACUGAGUGAAGAAUUUCCAGGAAAGUUUGUGAACCAGUUCCCAUUUGAGAUGACUGUGACAAUCAAAGACCUCCUGGCCAUUGUCUCUCGACGCGCAGCCAAGAAAGAUCAGUCCCAGAAUGCAUCGCAACCAAGUCCAAAAUGGCUGCCAGUCACCUACAACCUACAGACAGAACUGCCACAGUUUGUCUCUUACUUCCAGCAUAGGGAGGCUCAGGGUCUCGAUAACACCUACAUCUGUAAGCCGUGGAACCUGGCGCGAGGUCUCGAUAUGGACAUCACCGACAACCUGGACCACAUCGUCAAACUUCCAGACGGAGGACCCAAGGUGGUGUGUAAGUACAUCGAGGACCCGGUGUUGUUCCACCGGGAUGAUGUGGGGAUGGUCAAGUAUGACAUCCGGUACAUCGUACUGCUGUCCAGCGUCAAACCACUCAAACUGUUCGCCUACAAUGUUUUCUGGCUCAGAUUCGCCAACAAGCCCUACUCUCUCGACCACUUCGACGACUAUGACAAGCACUUCACAGUCAUGAACUACCGGGAAGAGUCCCCGCUCAAACAGAUUCACUACGAUGAGUACAUCAAGAUGUUUGAGAAGCAGUACCCUGACUUCAGCUGGGACGGACGUGGAGAGAGACAUCUUCACCAUGUUCCGGGAGUUGUUUGAGGCUGCCUCCUCCCUCCCCCACCCCAGGGCAUCAGCCCCUCCCCAGUCACGGGCCAUGUAUGCUAUUGACCUCAUGCUCAAGUGGGACAAGAAUGACAAAGGUGAGCGCUACAUGCAGCCCCAGAUCUGUGAGGUGAACUUCAGCCCCGACUGUGAUCGAGCCUGUCAGUACCACCCCUUCUUCAUCAACGAUGUCAUGAGCGUGCUCCUCCUAGACGACACAGUUGACAAACAUGUCACCCUCGUGUCAUGAUAACAGCCAUUGGUCUGUCUCAAUGUAAGACUUCAAGCUACAUUCUUCAUCUGAGAGGAAACUGUACUUAUUGUCAGAAGAUGAAGUUUUUUUCUUGAGGAGGUUAAAUAAGGUCAAAAGAUUUUUGUGUUUGACAGACACUCUUGGAAAGUCCAGGGUUUGUAUUCCAGGUCUGCCAAUCUUCCACAUGGUGACUGCCCUAAGUCGGGGAGUUACAACAAUAUUACAGCAAACAUCAGGACAGAGUCCCUUGUUCACAGCCGUGUUCAUCCUGUCUCCUGGAGGACAGGAACGAGUAACUGGUAUCAAAUGUACUUGAGAGGAGAUUCCAAGUGCAUGAUUGGCUACUCUGUGGUGAUGACCUGAGGUCAGAUUAUGAGGACUAUUUUCAUGAUUGUUGUUCAUUGAUACAUUUCUCUUAAUCAGUCAGAUUCAUCUAAGGUGACAGAAGUUAAAGUUUAAAGAGUUCAGUUUCUGGAUAUCAUCUAGUUUGCAUAAUCAUCAUAAAGUUGCAUUAGAACACAUUCCGGAGAUCUGUCAAGUGCUUUAGUCUCAGAAUGUGAACAGUGUUGUGAGUUACCAAUAUUGGGUAAUGGACGCCAGAAUUGGUCUUCACACCAUGUACAUAUGUAGGGACGCAAGCCCAUGCCUAUAUUUUGAUGAGUGAAUGCUCUAACCUCCAGGUUACCAAAUCAUCCCUCAAAAGGUAUCUGAUUUGGCAGAAUAAGAGAUUAUUUCUACAUAUUUUUUAUGUAUCAAAAUUCUGUUCUAUCCAGUCUGUGUUUAGACGAUAUUCCUGUGACGUAUAUCUGUAGUGCAGUACCACUGUAUAUCUACCACUCUUCAUCGCCUAUAUGUCAUCAUACUAUUGUAGGAGUUCAAGGGCUUGUGGGUGAAUAAUAAAUACUGCAUAGCACUUAA